rnacentral:lncRNA from 1 species
AUAUGAUUCAUGUAGUUCUGAGCUGAGAGCAAAGCUACAGUAUUGAAAUGGACUAAUGUUUUCUAGGUCAGGGUUAACCUGAGUUACAAAAUCUUCCUGAAAAGCUACUCUGAAGCCCUUUAGACCUGUUGGAAUGGUGGCAUACAGUGAACCUGUGAAGGACUAUGUCUAAACUAAGAAGUCACACAAAUGCCCACUUCUCUGUACACAGCAAGCUUCAUUCUCACACUUUCAGAUGAACAGGCUGCUUCCCACUUAAUGCAGCUGUCAGUGAGAUUUUAACUAUUUCCGUCUCAAACCUUGCUUCUUUGUCUGUGUCUAAUGUUUCCUGGCAGAUGACCAGAACACUGUAAGAUUAUGUUGAGAAGAUGGAUAGGGAACUCUGUUUCUUGUGGCAGAAGAACUAGAGGAAUCCAGUGAAAUUUCCAGGCAGGAGGUUUUAGUGGAAGCAACAGACAGAAUCUUUCUGUGCAACACUGAGUUGCUCUGUUGGAUUCAGUACCGCAGAAUGCUAUGGGAUGCUGGUAAAUUCUGUGAAAGCCUUGCUUUGAACUGGCUUUUUUUCAAUUCAUAUUUUUAUUACAGGUGAUAGAUGUCUGAACUAAUCCAAAUGCAUGGUGUUUGGCAAAGUUAUGGAAGAGCAUGACCUCACAGAGCUGGAGAAGAUGCAGAGGGCAAGUCAAAACCCAGAAGGUUCACAAAGCACAACUAGUCUACAAGGACUAGUUUGAGCUACUCUCACCAGCUAAGACAACACUUCUCUAUAAGGUGAGCACGUUGAAUAAAGCUUAUCGAUGUAGUUGUUUCUUUUUCUUUUCAUUCACCUCCUGACCUUUAAAAAUUACUUUACUCAACAAAGGACAAUAGGGCCAAUCCAGCUCCCAUUAAAGUCAGCAGGAGUCUUUUCAUUAACUUCAGCUGAAGCUGGGCUGGGCCCAAUAAGACUAACUUUAAGAGUAAAAAAUAGCAACUCAUAUAGAGCUUUAUCUUGCCCCCUGUGGCUUGAUAACUGACCUCCCAUCAUGUUCACUGGGACAGGAUCGGGCUUAUAAAGCCAAGUAAAACUAUUACAGGCCUAAUCCUAUAACCCAAAUUUAUAAAGUAUUUGAAUUUCCUCCUUUUAAUCACACUGGAAAUAUUUGAGAACUAUUCAUGACUUUACGAAUAGGGAGGAGCUUCCAGCUGAACAGAUUGGAUUUGUCUUUGGGUUGCUUUAUGCCCUAGAGUUUUCUGUUUUUAAAAUAAGGAGGAAGGAAGAUGGCAGGGGUAAGGGGCU